rnacentral:rRNA from 1 species
UACGGAGGGGGCUAGCGUUGUUCGGAAUUACUGGGCGUAAAGCGCACGUAGGCGGCUUUGUAAGUUAGAGGUGAAAGCCCAGGGCUUAACCCUGGAAUUGCCUUUAAGACUGCAUCGCUAGAAUCGUGGAGAGGUGAGUGGAAUUCCGAGUGUAGAGGUGAAAUUCGUAGAUAUUCGCAAGAACACCAGUGGCGAAGGCGGCUCACUGGCCCGAUACUGACGCUGAGGCACGGAAAGCGUG